rnacentral:rRNA from 1 species
AUUGAACGCUGGCGGCAGGCCUAACACAUGCAAGUCGAACGGUAACAGGAAGAGGCUUGCUUCUUUGCUGACGAGUGGCGGACGGGUGAGUAAUGUCUGGGAAACUGCCUGAUGGAGGGGGAUAACUACUGGAAACGGUAUCUAAUACCGCAUAACGUCGCAAGACCAUAGAGGGGGACCUUCGGGCCUCUUGCCAUCGGCUGUGCCCAGAUGGGAUUAGCUAGUAGGUGGGGUAACGGCUCACCUAGGCGACGAUCCCUAGCUGGUCUGAGAGGAUGACCAGCCACACUGGAACUGAGACACGGUCCAGACUCCUACGGGAGGCAGCAGUGGGGAAUAUUGCACAAUGGGCGCAAGCCUGAUGCAGCCAUGCCGCGUGUAUGAAGAAGGCCUUCGGGUUGUAAAGUACUUUUAGCAGGGAGGAAGGGAGUAAAGUUAAUCCCUUCACUCAUUGACGGUACCCGAAGAAGAAGCACCGGCUAACUCCGUG